rnacentral:lncRNA from 1 species
UGACCUAAAGAGCUUAAGUUUAAUUAUUGAUAAGCUUAUAUCAGAAUGAGCCUGCUGGUCUGGUGGUUAGAUGGAGUGUUGGUGUGUUGGAGGUCCUGUGUUCAAAUCCAGGUGCGAGCAUAGGUAUUAAUUUUUGUUUCAGUUAGCAGUGAGUGUUUAGAUGGAGUUAAAAGUCUGUGGGAGUGGGUAGUUACUAGUUGGUAGUGAUUUAGUGGGAUUGAGGGGUGAUUUUGUUAUCUUUUAUUUUAUUUUUCCGAAAUCUCCAAAAAUUUUCUUCUAGUUUUGACUUCUCAUUUUCCUCUUAAUCUGCUGAAAUUUUUC